UUUUCACCCAUGUAGUGAUUUACGACUCCAGAUUUAGCUCAAGGUGUGGCACGUGAAAAGACUCCAAGCCUGGAGAAGAAGAGCAUCUGUAUUAAAAACUGACCGGACUCCACAAGUUAGGAAGUGAGUGUGAAACGCCCAUGACAGGGAAAAAGUUUCUGAAGGUCAUCGUGGAGCCCCUCUGACAAUCCCUGGGCUGAGGAGCCUCAACUCUCGUUCAUAAUGUGACGUAGAGAGUGGACGGUUGCCCAUGACUGAUCUGGAGACCUUUGACAUGAUGUCCAAGGAAAUAAAUGACAAACAGGAUGCAAGACUGAAUGACAGAACGAUUAAGCUUGGAAUCGGUUUGUCAAAAGUUUUGAUGUAAUGGUCCCCCCUUCACUCUUGACAGCUUACAAGUGGAACCUGUAGGGUUCUGUUUGGUUUAAAUGCUGUCCUUACUUACUUACUGACUUUUCAGUAAUUUUUUGCUUGAUUUACAAGAAAAAAAGUCCUCAAUUCAGUUUUGCAACACUUACCGUUUUUUCCCAUGCAUAAUGCGCAAAAUUUAACUAAUUUAUUGUCCUAAAAUCUGUGGUGCGCAUUAUACAUGGGUACAAUUUUUUUUUUUUUUUUUUGAAGAAAAUCAUUGUACAACAAUUUUUGAAGAAAAUCUUGUCACGGAUGGAGUGUGGAAAGGAGCGGAGCGACCAAGUGCGGCUUUGACCAGGGUUUAUUGGAGGAACUCAAAACACAGACUUGGUAAACUAAUUGUGGUAAAUAACUGGAACAUCACUCAAAUAUUGGUGAUCCCGUUGAGAGUCUCACAUAUUUCUUCGCUAUCGAGUUUGCUACUGCAUGCGCAGUGAUACUGACCGGCAGAAUAACAUCCGGUUGUUCCCAAAGAUGAUCUUUUUUCUGAAAUAAUUUUACGACUUAAGUAGGAGUCAAAAUUUGGGUGCGUAUUAUAUAUGGGUACAGGCUUUUUUCCAGCAUCGACAUGCCAUUUCUAGGGUGCGUAUUAUACAUGGGGGCGCAUUAUACAUGGAAAAAAAACGGUAAUUCCAUUCUUGUGAGACACUGCUCAUAAUUUGUUAUGUACAGAUUGCAAAGCAGUCUUGUGUUGGAAGGGGCUUUUUGAAGACAUGCAUGUUUACAAGAAUACCAUGGACAGGUAUGAUUAGUUUGACAUCUGUAAUGUAGAUUAGAAAAGACAAUAGUGAAGGCUUACGACGUGGUGGCGUAAUGCUGCUCUCAAUGUUGACAUUUCUUUCUCUUGUAGAGUCUACACAAAUGACAAUGACAACGUUCAAUAUUCGUGGUGGUGGGACCUCAAAAAGACUGCUCUGUUAGCGCUGGUAAAUGAUGAAAACCUG